CUUUUUGUUCAAAAUUUGAAUCCCUGCUCAUCCCCACUUCCCCAUACAUCUGUCUUUUCAAAAUCAAAUCUCAAAAUCUGGCAACCAUUCUCUCUCAAGAAACCCUACAAACUUAUCACAGCCCAAAUCCAUCACGAUACCAAGAAGACGACCCUAAGAUGUGCAAUUCCUCUUCAGAUUACAGUUUGUUUCUCUUCAGGUCUACGAUUCCUCUUCAGAUCUGUGUUUGUUUCUUCUUCAGAUCUACGAUUCCUCUUCAGAUCUGGGCAGUUAGCCAGCUCCGCACCUACUUUAUAUAGAAGAAUACCCUUAAUGUUCCUGUUGUAUAAUGUGCAAGGCUUUAGCUUUGUUUGCAGCAAGAACAACUUCAGCGGUGUAAGAUUUCACCGGAUCAAUUCUGAUUUUGCUCUCAUCAGCGGCUGUAAAUGGUGGUUGUUUGGUUAAGCUAGCGAUUCCGACCACUUGACAAACUUUAAGAAAGAACCAUACAGAGAGAAGGGAAGGAGAAUCUCUAGAGAAGUGUUUAUAGAUAGAUCUAAGUUGGGAUUGAAGUAAGAGUUAUGGAUCAUACUGUUGGUGGGAAGUUUAAGCUUAAAAGGAAAAUUGGGAAUGGGUCGUUUGGUGAACUUUAUUUAGGUGUCAAUAUUCAAAGUGGUGAAGAAGUAGCUAUUAAACUGCCACCACAAAAGCAACCAAAGACGACGACCUUUCUUUCAUUUUUUCAGAUGCCACAACAAGCUCAAGAAAAGUCUUGAAAAACAACAGACAGGCAAAAGUUCGAGUCCAAGGGUAUUCCAGUAAUUCUUCACCUGGGUAUCAUCAAUAUAUGCUGCAAUGUUGUUUUCUGGGCCUACGUUUUGCUUCGGAUAUGGCUGUUGAAGGCCCCAUUCUGGGUUGCUUGGAUGGUGCAAAAGUCUCAUUACUCGGUACCAAAUAAAGGGACUAAAGGCCUGUUUACUAACUGGGCUGAUAAUUUGGAUCUCAACUACCGGUUUCGGACCAAGGCCCCAAAUGGGUGCCAGCAGUUAAUGGGCCUAGGUGUCUAUGCAUACUUGAAGACCCAUAGUGGUUCUCAACCUGAACCAACCCGGGCACGUUUUCAUGUUGUUAGCUUAGCAAUCCAUCUACACUUCAUGAGACUGUUGUGGAAGUGCCCAAUGUAAGAUGGGAAGACAUUGGCGGCCUCAAGAAUGCUAAAUGAGAGCUGCAAGAGGUUUUUUACUCAUCACUGUGUAAGGGAUCGACUCUCAUUUUCGGUUGUAGUGCACAUUUGAAGAGUAUCUAAUGCUAGACAUUUGGAGGAUUACUCAAUAAACAAGUCCCUUCAUGCUAAAGACUUGAAUAAAAGAUUGCGGUUUUGCAUCUGGAUCCAACAUACAUGAUCCGGGCUGUUCCAAGUAAUGCGUAUGAUAGUAUCUAUUGCACACUUCUUGCUUAAAGUGCCGUUCAUGGGGCCAUGGCCAUACUCGGGUUUCACUAUGGGACCUGUGAACAGCACAUACGCAUACCGCAUAUCCAAACGCGUAUAUUCCAAUUGAGCGUGUAACUGAGGUUACAAAUGUUGUGAAGUUGAUAGAUAGAAUGUGGGCUAGACUUCUAGCUUCGACUAAUCAACCCACUUUUUGGAUGGACAUGAAUAGAUUUGACCCGAUAUUCGUAUGUUUCUUGUCUCCAAUUGGUCCUUGGUCCUCUGUUGAGGUGGAAAGUUGAAUUUUAAAGAAGCUGGCUUACAUGAAGAAAAAGUUUUAUUCAAACUUUGAAGGUUCUGGACUGUAAUAUAGAAGUUUGGUUGGUCCUCACUUCCAGAUUAUCAAAAUGCCUUUUUUUAUUUGGUCCCCGGAUAACGACCGAGGAAUCCAAACACCGACAUCAUCAAGAAAAAGAGGAACCACAUAUUACAACAGAAUUGAAUAUUUAAACAUGUUUUGAUUUUAAAUAUAUAACAAAUCGAGUAAGAUGGCAGCAUGCCUAUCACCAUCAGUUCCAAAAUGUUGAUUUGUUCUUGGCAAAAGCAUUUCAUUGAUCGUUAAUAUUGAUGCUGCCUAGAUUUGUUAAACUAUAUCGAGCAAUAGCUGGCCAACCAGUUGCCCCUUAAGUUGCA